rnacentral:rRNA from 1 species
UACGAAGGGGGCUAGCGUUGUUCGGAUUUACUGGGCGUAAAGCGCACGUAGGCGGUUUGUUAAGUCAGGGGUGAAAUCCCAGAGCUCAACUCUGGAACUGCCUUUGAUACUGGCAAGCUCGAGUCCGGAAGAGGUAAGUGGAACUCCUAGUGUAGAGGUGGAAUUCGUAGAUAUUAGGAAGAACACCAGGUGGCGAAGGCGGCUCACUGGCCCGAUACUGACGCUGAGGCACGAAAGCGUGGGGAGCAAACAGG